AUGCAUACCCAGCAAGUCCCACUUCUGAAUGCCUUGCUGGCUUCCACGUCUCCAGGACUGCUCCCUCUGCUGGAAAGCUCGCCCCCCCCAACCCUCGAGUCCCCAAGACUCCUCCGCCAAGGGGCUUCCUGGGUGAGCAGCCUGCCCCCCGCCCCGUUCCCUGCUAUCUGUCCCCAACCCAGCACAAAGGAUGUGCUCUGCCAAAGUUGUCCCACACCCCUGUCAUUUUUGAA
rnacentral:lncRNA from 1 species